rnacentral:rRNA from 1 species
UACGUAGGGUGCGAGCGUUGUCCGGAAUUAUUGGGCGUAAAGAGCUCGUAGGCGGUUUGUCGCGUCUGCCGUGAAAGUCCGGGGGCUCAACUCCGGAUCUGCGGUGGGUACGGGCAGACUAGAGUGAUGUAGGGGGAGACUGGAAUUCCGGGUGUAGCGGUGGAAUGCGUAGAGAUCCGGAAGAACACCGGUGGCGAAGGCGGCCUGCUGGGCUAUGGCUGACACUGAGGCGCGACAGCGUGGGGAGCAAACAGG